AUUGAACGCUGGCGGCGUGCCUAACACAUGCAAGUGGAGCGACGAACCAGGGCUUGCCCUGGGGCAGAGCCGCGAACGGGUGAGUAACACGUGGGUAACCUGCCUUGAUGACUGGGAUAACCCGGGGAAACCCGAGCUAAUACCGGAUGUGUUGAUCGAUCGUUGGAUUGAUUAAUAAAGGAGCUUCGGCCUCCGCAUCAAGAUGGGCCCGCGGCCCAUUAGUUUGUUGGUAGGGUAACGGCCUACCAAGGCAACGAUGGGUAGCUGGUCUGAGAGGACGAUCGGCCACACUGGGACUGAGACACGGCCCAGACUCCGACUGGAGGCAGGAGUGGGGAAUCUUGCGCAAGGCGCGAAAGCGUGACGCAGCAACGCCGCGUGAGGGAAGACGGCCUUCGGGUUGUAAACCUCUUUCAGUUGGGACGAAGCCUGUGCAGUUAAUAGCUGUUGCAGGUGACGGUACCUUUAGAAGAAGCCCCGGCUAACUACGUGCCAGCCGCCGCGGUAA
rnacentral:rRNA from 1 species